GAAAUUUUUACGCUGAUUGUUACCUACCGCAACCCUCCUACUUUAUCCGGGCUUGGGACCGGCUGCGUUAUUAGCAAGGCACAGGCGGAGUUACUCCUCAAGCAAGUAGGAAAAUGGACAUCAGACCUUACACCACAUUUCCAUUAAUGUUUGGACCUCGUUUGGUGCUUGCCACUAGCAUUUGGUAAAUCAUUUAGAUGAGACCUUGCAAUAUUUUAUUAUAACUUACAAAGCCAAAAUGUUGGGCAUUUGGCGUUCCUAUAAGGAAAAUGAAGAGAACAGAAGCAUACCAGGAAAACCUCCACCCCCACAGCUAUAAUGGUUUUUACUUGAACCCUGUAACCAAAAUAAAAUUAAGGGACAAAAAAAUUAAAUAAUUAAAAAGAAAUUUAUACGGUAUAAUUCAAAACAUAUAAAUUUU
rnacentral:misc_RNA from 1 species